CUACGGGAUGGAGCCUGGCCAGACGCAGGAAGGAGAAGGUGUCAGCAGAUGUUGAGAUGCUGUUUGGGUUGGAGCAUCUUCCACUAUGAAAUCUUGGUGGUCAAACGGACAGCAUUUAAGGGAUUACUGAAGAAGCACGAGACAAUUAUCAGCAAUCCAAGGCAUUCUUCUAUCAAAAGUGUUUUCAGCUAAUUUGGAUUAUACUAUUUGAGUAGGAAAGAUAAAAAUCAGAAGACAGAACCUGGUAGGUAUUAGAAAAGAGAUACUUUAUACAUUCGUUUGCAGACAAAUACAGUUUCAGCCAUUUAUAACCUGAAUGGGUUCCAGGGAAUGAAUGUUUACCUGUCCCCCAAUUCAUAUCCUGAACUCACCCCUUCUGCAUUGGUACUUGGGGGCUUAUGUUGUGAAGAUAUGGUUCUGAUGAUGGUACUAAGGCUUUUAAAAGAAGGAACCAUCAUUUGGGGAUGUUCAUAACACAGAGUGGUGACCUAUUGAAGACAUCAGCAAAGUGAGCAGAGGGUCUUUACCAGACACUCUGUCUCCUAUUAACCUGGUUUCCAGUUGCUGUCCCCAAGAACUGUGAGAAAUUAAUGCGUUUAAGUUACCUGCUCUCUGGCUAUAGUAGGCCAGGCUGACUGCAAUCAUCAC
rnacentral:lncRNA from 1 species